ACGGGAGGCAGCAGCUAAGAAUAUUCCGCAAUGGACGAAAGUCUGACGGAGCGACGCCGCGUGGAUGAUGAAGGCCGGAAGGUUGUAAAAUCCUUUUAUAACUGAGGAAUAAGUAAGGUGAGAGAAACGCCUUAUGGUGACUGUAGGUUAUGAAUAAGCAACGGCUAAUUACGUGCCAGCAGCCGCGGUAACACGUAAGUUGCGAGCGUUGUUCGGAAUUAUUGGGCGUAAAGGGCAUGUAGGCGGUUUUGCAAGCUUGGUGUGAAAUCCCGGAUCUUAACUCCGGAAGUGCGUUGAGAACUGGAUAACUAGAGUCACUGGGGGGCAAUCAGAAUUCCUGGUGUAGGGGUGAAAGCUGUAGAUAUCAGGAAGAAUACCAAUGGCGAAGGCAGGUUACCAGCAGAUGGCUGACGCUGAGGUGCGAAGGUGCGGGGAGCAAACAAGAUUAGAUACCAUGGUA
rnacentral:rRNA from 1 species